rnacentral:rRNA from 1 species
GAAGAGUUUGAUCCUGGCUCAGGUUUAACGCUGGCGGUGUGCAUAACACAUGCAAGUCGAGUGUGCUCGCAAGAGUAACACGGCAAACGGGUGAGUAACACGUUGAUACCUCCCCUGAACUUUGGCAUAACCACGCGAAAGCGUGGAUAAUUCCAAAUAGUCCCGCAAGGGUAAAGAUUUUUCGGUUCAGGAAGGGUCUGCGGCCUAUCAGCUUGUUGGCGGGGUAACGGCCCACCAAGGCUAUGACGGGUAGCUGGUCUGAGAGGACGACCAGUCACAAGGGAACUGAGACACGGUCCCUACUCCUACGGGAGGCAGCAGUGAGGAAUCUUCCGCAAUGGGCGAAAGCCUGACGGAGCAACACCGCGUGAAGGAUGAAGGCCUUCGGGUCGUAAACUUCUUUUCUGAGGGAAGAAUUCUGACGGUACCUUAGGAAUAAGCACCGGCUAACUCUGUGCCAGCAGCCGCGGUAAUACAGAGGGUGCGAGCGUUAACCGGAAUCAUUGGGCGUAAAGCGUCUGUAGGCGGUGAGAAAAGUCGGAGGUAAAAGGCGUCGGCUCAACCGACGUUGUGUUUCCGAAACUUUCUCGCUUGAAGAGGGCAGAGGCAAGUGGAAUUCCGUGUGUAGGGGUAAAAUCCGUAGAUACACGGAGGAACACCAAAAGCGAAGGCAGCUUGCUGGGCCUUUCUUGACGCUGAGAGACGAAAGCGUGGGGAGCAAACAGGAUUAGAUACCCUGGUAGUCCACGCCGUAAACCAUGAGUACUCCGUGUUGGGAGAAUCGACCCUCCCAGUGCGUUAGCUUACGCGUUAAGUACUCCGCCUGAGUAGUACGAUCGCAAGAUUAAAACUCAAAGGAAUAGACGGGGACCCACACAAGCGGUGGAGCAUCUGGUUUAAUUCGAUAGUAAACGAGGAACCUCACCUGGGCUUGACAUCUCGGGAAUCCUGCCGAAAGGCGGGAGUGCCGUAAGGAACCCGAUGACAGGUGCUGCAUGGUUGUCGUCAGCUCGUGCCUUGAGGUGUUCGGUUAAGUCCGUGAACGAGCGCAACCCUUGUCCUGUGUUGUAUAUUUCGCAGGAGACUGCCCCGGCCAACGGGGAGGAAGGUAGGGAUCACGUCAAAUCAGCAUGGCCCUUAUGCCCAGGGCGACACAGGUGCUACAAUGGCCGGUACAGCGGGUAGCCAAGCCGUAAGGCGGAGCCAAUCCCUUAAAACCGGUCCAAGUUCGGAUUGAGGUCUGCAACUCGACCUCAUGAAGCUGGAAUCGCUAGUAAACGCGUAUCAGCCAUGGCGCGUUGAAUAUGUUCCUGGGUUUUGUACUCACCGCCCGUCACGUCAUGGAAGCUGGGAGUGCCCAAAGAUCCACUUCGUGUGGAUUAAAGGCAAAAUCAGUGACUGGGACGAAGUCGUAACAAGGUAUCCGUAGGAGAACCUGCGGAUGGAUCACCUCU